GAAAUUAUCACCUCAUAAUAUUCAAAGAAUGAUUCCUUCUUAUAUUAUUUCCAAAUUGUAUACUUUCAAACAACAUUAUUUUAAAACCACUAUUUCUAUGUAGCACAUGCUUGUAUUGCUACGCGGCGAAGCCAAUACCGUUUUGGUUAUGCUAUAAGACAGGCCCAUUUUUGUGUCACUCAUGUUUUAUGAAGUUAUUUGGUUUAAGAGUUCGUAAUUUAUUCGUAAUGUUUUCACAGACAAAGACAGUUUAUUAUGUAAAUAUAAACGUUUUAAUACACACAUUUAUCACAUUGUUCGAUUUCAGCUUUUUCAGUGUUCACAGGCGUUACUGCUUUUUUUAAUCUUUUAAAACAUUAAGCAACAAUGUUUUAGCUUGUGUAAUAAUGUGCUACAUUUUCUUCAUGCAUUGUGUGUGUUUUAUCUGUAAAUCAAAUUCGACGAUCGCGAAUAAAAAGCUGUUUAU
rnacentral:misc_RNA from 1 species